rnacentral:rRNA from 1 species
GUUAGGAAUAUUGGACAAUGGGCGAAAGCCUGAUCCAGCCAUGCCGCGUGAACGAUGAAGGCCUUCGGGUUGUAAAGUUCUUUAGCCGAUGAUUAUAAUGACUGUAGUCGGAAAAUAAGCCCCGGCUAACUUCGUGCCAGCAGCCGCGGUAAUACGAAGGGGGCGAGCGUUAUUCGGAAUCACUGGGCGUAAAGCGUGCGUAGGCGGUUUUGUAAGUUAGGAGUGAAAGCCCAGGGCUCAAACUUGGAAUUCCUCUUAAAACUGCAAGGCUCGAAUCUCGGAGAGGAUAGCGGAAUUUCCAGUGUAGCAGUGAAAUGCGUAGAUAUUGGAAGGAACACCAGUGGCGUAAGCGGCUAUCUGGACGAGUAUUGACGCUGAGGCACGAAAGCGUGGGGAUCAAACAGGAUUAGAAACCCGAGUAGUCC